rnacentral:lncRNA from 1 species
UACACAGGCUGCCUCCCCAUAAGGUGGGGUUUGCAAGGUUCCACCCUUUUCGGAAGAGAGCUCCCUCCUAGCUGCCUGAGGAUGCCAGUCUCUCCUGGUUGCCUUUGAAUCAAGAUGCAGAACUUUCAACUCUUCCAGCCCCAAGUCUGCCUGGAUGCUGCCAUGCUUCAGGCUAUGAUGAUAAUGGACUGAACCUCUGAACCGCAGUCGUAUUAAGCAGUAAUUGCUAUUAAGUUAGCAGUAUCGGUGAGAUCAUCCUUCAUGAUCAAGCACACAGAGCAUGAAAACAGUGAGACUGAGGGCGGCAGAACUCUGUGACUCUCAGACAAGAACUGUGUUUACAUCUUUUUAAAUGCCACAUCCCUAUGAACGUUUUCUCCAAGACUCCACAACCUGCUGAGAGGCUGAACCUGUCUUCCUGAGGAGAUCCUGACUAACCAACAGCCUGGACAGAGUGAUGACAAUGCGACUAGAGCCUGGUGUAGUGGGGGAUGGGCUUUCCCCUAUUUAAGUUCAGACUCAAAAAGUAAACUUUGGCCC